AAAAAAUUUAGAACCCUUCCCGAAGUUGUCCCCGAAGGCUAGAAAAAGUGGCCGAUGGUUCUACGAUGGUUAAAGAUGGCACUACGAAUAGCCCGAUCUGAAUACGAUCAGUCCCGAUUUUGAAAAUUUCCAUAAUCGUGUUGCCAUCGGCGUAAAAAUCGGGACAGUGUGACGCGGGCAUAAAGGAUUUUAGGAAAAUAAUUUAAAUGGCACAAUAAGUCAAUGUGUUGAUAAUGCUUUUUGAAAAACCAAUUAAAAAUGAACUUUAUUAAGAUAUCUCUUAGAAUUCUGUGCAAAUUUUGAGAUGAUAAAAUUGCCUCUUAUAUAGUGCUCCAUAUGUAACAUCAAUUGUUUUAGUUUUUUAUGGGACCAAGAAGUUAGUCCUUCAGAGAAGUCAUUGCAGAACAUUGAUAAUCUUAUGUUUAUUGUUUUUAACUUUUAUAUAUGAAAUGAUCAAAUAAAAUAUUUAAUAAUUAUGUUGUUAUCAUUACUAAAUAAUACCUACACAUAAACAGUCC
rnacentral:lncRNA from 1 species